CAACAACAGACUCGGUGAAAUUGUAAUUCCGGUGAAGAUGCCGGAUACCUGCGACAGGACGGAAAGACCCCAUGGAGCUUUACUGUAGCUUGACAUUGGGUCUUGGUACUACAUGUACAGGAUAGGUGGGAGGCUUUGAAACCAGGACGCCAGUUUUGGCGGAGCCAUCCUUGGGAUACCACCCUUGUAGUACUGGGACUCUAACCAUAGGCCAUGAAUCUGGUCUUGGGACACUGUCAGGUGGGCAGUUUGACUGGGGCGGUCGCCUCCCAACAGGUAACGGAGGCGCUCAAAGGUUCUCUCAGUACGGUCGGAAAUCGUACGUAGAGUGUAAAGGCAAAAGAGAGCUUGAUUGCAAGACAUACAGGUCGAGCAAGGAUGAAAAUCGGACUUAGUGAUCCGGUGGU
rnacentral:rRNA from 1 species